rnacentral:rRNA from 1 species
UACGGGGGGAGCAAGCGUUGUUCGGAUUUACUGGGCGUAAAGGGCGCGUAGGCGGCCACCGCAAGUCAAUUGUGAAAUCUCCGGGCUUAACUCGGAAAGGUCAACUGAUACUGCGGGGCUAGAGUGCGGAAGGGGCAACUGGAAUUCUCGGUGUAGCGGUGAAAUGCGCAGAUAUCGGGAGGAACACCAAUUGCGAAGGCGGCCUGCUGGGGCAGUUUAGCUGACACUGAGGCGCGACAGCGUGGGGAGCAAACAGG